rnacentral:rRNA from 1 species
UACAGAGGUCUCAAGCGUUGUUCGGAUUCAUUGGGCGUAAAGGGUGCGUAGGCGGCGCGGUAAGUCGGGUGUGAAAUCUCGGGGCUUAACUCCGAAACUGCAUUCGAUACUGCCGUGCUUUGAGGACUGGAGAGGAGACUGGAAUUUACGGUGUAGCGGUGAAAUGCGUAGAUAUCGUAAGGAAGACCAGUGGCGAAGGCGGGUCUCUGGACAGU